AAAAAAAAAAAAAGCCCUCAUUUGGAUAAUAUUUGAAUUUGUUGGCUGUUUAAUUCAAUUUGACUUAAAAAAUUAUUAGUUAUGUACUGUUUUUAAAUAACAUCGUAUGCUCUCUGUGAGUCUUUUCUGUGUAAGGAGCAAGCAGGCGUGACAGGUGUCAAACAUUCAUUGCUACUUUCCUAUUUUAUUAACACAUGUCCAGGUGUCUUAAAAUGAAGAAAGGCCCGAAGUUCAUCACAGAUUUUUUGAUUCCUAGUUUGGAUGAAAAAAAAUUUGGCUGCCGUCUUCAGUGGGUGAAUAGAGAAAAAGCUGAAUUUCAAUUGAAAUGGAAUCAUAAAAAUGCAUCAUAUUGGUCUGAAUAUGAUGUUGAAGUUUUUAUUUCUCUCCCCCCACCCCGAAAUGCCUCGCAAACAUAAAUCUAACAUGUCUACGUAGGAAUUCAUCUCGGGCCCGGGCAGCAAAAAUUGCUCUAUUCCAAGAAUCUUCCGUACAUGCACAAUUAAGAAGACAAUGUUAAGGAAGGUGCACGAACUCAAUAUGUUCAUUAUAAUGUAGUUUUUUUGUGACAACAGUGAUGUUUUUUAAUAUAUUGCUUUGAGCGUGAUAACGCAUGGAAUGUUACUUUUUGUUAUAUUUAGAAUGCUAAAUAAAAUAGUCCGUUGUUAAUUAAAAAGGUUUUCUCUGCGAAAUAUAUUACCAUUCGUCAGAAGUUAUUAAUUAAGUCAACAAAUUGAUUAAUUUCAAACAACUGGCGUCCGGUGACAGGACGGAAUGGCUAUUUGAAGAAAACGAAACAUCAAUUUCGUAUUGGAAUUUAUCAA